rnacentral:rRNA from 1 species
GCUGGCGGCGUGCUUAACACAUGCAAGUCGAACGGAAAGGCCCUUCGGGGUACUCGAGUGGCGAACGGGUGAGUAACACGUGGGUGAUCUGCCCUGCACUUUGGGAUAAGCCUGGGAAACUGGGUCUAAUACCGAAUACACCUCGCUGGCUGCAUGGUUGGUGGGGGAAAGCUUUUGCGGUGUGGGAUGGGCCCGCGGCCUAUCAGCUUGUUGGUGAGGUUAUGGCUCACCAAGGCGACGACGGGUAGCCGGCCUGAGAGGGUGUCCGGCCACACUGGGACUGAGAUACGGCCCAGACUCCUACGGGAGGCAGCAGUGGGGAAUAUUGCACAAUGGGCGCAAGCCUGAUGCAGCGACGCCGCGUGAGGGAUGACGGCCUUCGGGUUGUAAACCUCUUUCAGUAGGGACGAAGCGCAAGUGACGGUACCUACAGAAGAAGCACCGGCCAACUACGUGCCAGCAGCCGCGGUAAUACGUAGGGUGCGAGCGUUGUCCGGAACUACUGGGCGUAAAGAGCUCGUAGGUGGUUUGUCGCGUUGUUCGUGAAAACCGGGGGCUUAACCCUCGGCGUGCGGGCGAUACGGGCAGACUUGAGUACUGCAGGGGAGACUGGAAUUCCUGGUGUAGCGGUGGAAUGCGCAGAUAUCAGGAGGAACACCG